AUUGAACGCUGGCGGCAGGCCUAACACAUGCAAGUCGAGCGAGCGGCGGACGGGUGAGUAAUGUAUGGGGACUGCCCGAUAGAGGGGGAUAACUACUGGAAACGGUGGCUAAUACCGCAUACUAUCGGAUAACCCAUAUGGGAUUAGCUAGUAGGUGGGGUAAAGGCUCACCUAGGCGACGAUCUCUAGCUGGUCUGAGAGGAUGAUCAGCCACACUGGGACUGAGAAACGGCCCAGAAUCCUACGGAGGGAGCAGGGGGGAAUAUUGCACCAAGGGGGAAAGCCUUAUGGAGCCAUGCCGCGUGUAUGAAGAAGGCCUUAGGGGUGUAAAGGACUUUCCGGGGGGAGGCGUUACCCGCAGAAGAAGCACCGGCUAACUCCGUGCCAGCAGCCGCGGUAAUAC
rnacentral:rRNA from 1 species